rnacentral:tRNA from 1 species
GGAGAGAUGGCUCAGUGGUUAAGAGCACUGACUUUCAGAGGUUCUGAGUUCAAUUCCCAGCAUCUACA